CUGGCGGUGCUGGCGGCGGUAGUAGCAGCUGGAUUGGCAGGGUUGGCGGUGGCAAAGGUGGCGGCAAAGGUGGCGGCAAAGGUGGCGGCAAAGGUGGCGGCAAAGGUGGCGACGGCGGCGGCGGUCGUGAUGGCGGCAAAGGUGGCGAUGGCGGCAGCGAUGGCAAUGGUGGCAAUGGUGGCAAUGGUGGCAAAGGUGGCGAUGGCAGCAAAGUUGUCCUGGCCAAGCCGAAUCAUAGAGGACGUAACGUUGGCGACGCUAAGCGCUCGUGCAUCUUGGGCUGCUGCCAUCUCUAUUGUUUUUAAGAAUUUGAAUAAAAAAUAUGAAAUACGA